rnacentral:rRNA from 1 species
CAGUCGUACGCUUCUUUUUCCCCGGAGCUUGCUCCACCGGAAAAAGAAGAGUGGCGAACGGGUGAGUAACACGUGGGUAACCUGCCCAUCAGAAGGGGAUAACACUUGGAAACAGGUGCUAAUACCGUAUAACAAUCGAAACCGCAUGGUUUUGAUUUGAAAGGCGCUUUCGGGUGUCGCUGAUGGAUGGACCCGCGGUGCAUUAGCUAGUUGGUGAGGUAACGGCUCACCAAGGCCACGAUGCAUAGCCGACCUGAGAGGGUGAUCGGCCACAUUGGGACUGAGACACGGCCCAAACUCCUACGGGAGGCAGCAGUAGGGAAUCUUCGGCAAUGGACGAAAGUCUGACCGAGCAACGCCGCGUGAGUGAAGAAGGUUUUCGGAUCGUAAAACUCUGUUGUUAGAGAAGAACAAGGAUGAGAGUAACUGUUCAUCCCUUGACGGUAUCUAACCAGAAAGCCACGGCUAACUACGUGCCAGCAGCCGCGGUAAUACGUAGGUGGCAAGCGUUGUCCGGAUUUAUUGGGCGUAAAGCGAGCGCAGGCGGUUUCUUAAGUCUGAUGUGAAAGCCCCCGGCUCAACCGGGGAGGGUCAUUGGAAACUGGGAGACUUGAGUGCAGAAGAGGAGAGUGGAAUUCCAUGUGUAGCGGUGAAAUGCGUAGAUAUAUGGAGGAACACCAGUGGCGAAGGCGGCUCUCUGGUCUGUAACUGACGCUGAGGCUCGAAAGCGUGGGGAGCAAACAGGAUUAGAUACCCUGGUAGUCCACGCCGUAAACGAUGAGUGCUAAGUGUUGGAGGGUUUCCGCCCUUCAGUGCUGCAGCUAACGCAUUAAGCACUCCGCCUGGGGAGUACGACCGCAAGGUUGAAACUCAAAGGAAUUGACGGGGGCCCGCACAAGCGGUGGAGCAUGUGGUUUAAUUCGAAGCAACGCGAAGAACCUUACCAGGUCUUGACAUCCUUUGACCACUCUAGAGAUAGAGCUUCCCCUUCGGGGGCAAAGUGACAGGUGGUGCAUGGUUGUCGUCAGCUCGUGUCGUGAGAUGUUGGGUUAAGUCCCGCAACGAGCGCAACCCUUAUUGUUAGUUGCCAUCAUUUAGUUGGGCACUCUAGCAAGACUGCCGGUGACAAACCGGAGGAAGGUGGGGAUGACGUCAAAUCAUCAUGCCCCUUAUGACCUGGGCUACACACGUGCUACAAUGGGAAGUACAACGAGUCGCGAAGUCGCGAGGCUAAGCUAAUCUCUUAAAGCUUCUCUCAGUUCGGAUUGUAGGCUGCAACUCGCCUACAUGAAGCCGGAAUCGCUAGUAAUCGCGGAUCAGCACGCCGCGGUGAAUACGUUCCCGGGCCUUGUACACACCGCCCGUCACACCACGAGAGUUUGUAACACCCGAAGUCGGUGAGGU